GAUGAAGAACGUAGCGAAAUGCGAUAAGUAGUGUGAAUUGCAGAAUUCAGUGAAUCAUCGAAUCUUUGAACGCACAUUGCGCCCCAUGGUAUUCCAUGGGGCAUGCCUGUUCGAGCGUCAUUUGUACCUUCAAGCUCUGCUUGGUGUUGGGUGUUUGUCUCGCCUCUGCGUGUAGACUCGCCUCAAAACAAUUGGCAGCCGGCGUAUUGAUUUCGGAGCGCAGUACAUCUCGCGCUUUGCACUCAUAACGACGACGUCCAAAAGUACAUUUUUACACUCUUGACCUCGGAUCAGGUAGGGAUACCCGCUGAACUUAAGCAUAUCAAUAAGCGGAGGA
rnacentral:misc_RNA from 1 species